CCUACGGGUGGCAGCAGUGAGGGAUAUUGGUCAAUGGGGGAAACCCUGAACCAGCAAAGCCGCGUGAGGGAAGACGGUUUUCGGAUUGUCAACCUCUGUCCUCUGUGCAGCUAAUGACGGUAGCAGCGGAGGACGCUCCGGCUAACUACGUGACAGCAGCCGCGGUAAUACGUAGGGAGCAAGCGUUGUACGGAUUUACUGUGUGUAAAGGGUGCGUAGGCGGCUUUGCAAGUCAGAAGGGAAAUCCCUGGGCUUAACCCAUGAACUGCUUUUGAAACUGCAGAGCUUGAGUGGAGUAGAGGGAGGCAGAAUUCCCGGUGUAGCGGUGAAAUGCGUAGAGAUCGGGAGGAACACCAGUGGCGAAGGCGGCCUACUGGGCUCUAACUGACGCUGAGGCACGAAAGCGUGGGUAGCAAACAGGAUUAGAUACCCUUGUAGUC
rnacentral:rRNA from 1 species